rnacentral:tRNA from 1 species
UUAGUUAAAACCAAAUAGAGGUUUACUACUGUUAAUAGUAUCAAUGAAUAAUUAUUCUAACUAUU